rnacentral:rRNA from 1 species
UACGAAGGGGGGCUAGCGUUGCUCGGAAUCACUGGGCGUAAAGCGCACGUAGGCGGCUUCUUAAGUCAGGGGUGAAAUCCUGGAGCUCAACUCCAGAACUGCCUUUGAUACUGGCGAUCUCGAGUCCGGGAGAGGUGAGUGGAACUGCGAGUGUAGAGGUGAAAUUCGUAGAUAUUCGCAAGAACACCAGUGGCGAAGGCGACUUACUGGACACAUAUUGACACUGAGGUGCGAAAGCGUGGGGAGCAAACAGGG